rnacentral:rRNA from 1 species
ACACCGGCAGCUCAAGUGGUGGCCGUUUUUAUUGGGCCUAAAGCGUUCGUAGCCGGCCUGAUAAGUCUCUGGUGAAAUCCCGCAGCUUAACUGUGGGAAUUGCUGGAGAUACUAUCAGGCUUGAGGUCGGGAGAGGUUAGAGGUACUCCCAGGGUAGGGGUGAAAUCCUAUAAUCCUGGGAGGACCACCUGUGGCGAAGGCGUCUAACUGGAACGAACCUGACGGUGAGUAACGAAAGCCAGGGGCGCGAACCGGAUGAGAUACACGGGUAGUCCUGGCCGUAAACGAUGUGGACUUGGUGUUGGGAUGGCCUCGAGCUGCCCCAGUGCCGAAGGGAAGGUGUUAAGUCCACCGCCUGGGAAGUACGGUCGCAAGACUGAA